rnacentral:rRNA from 1 species
CAGGAUUAGAUACCCUGGUAGUCCACGCCGUAAACGAUGUCGACUUGGAGGCUGUUCCCUGAGGGAGUGGCUUCCGGAGCUAACGCGUUAAGUCGACCGCCUGGGGAGUACGGCCGCAAGGUUAAAACUCAAAUGAAUUGACGGGGGCCCGCACAAGCGGUGGAGCAUGUGGUUUAAUUCGAUGCAACGCGAAGAACCUUACCUGGCCUUGACAUCCACGGAAUUCGACAGAGAUGCCCUAGUGCCUUCGGGAACCGUGAGACAGGUGCUGCAUGGCUGUCGUCAGCUCGUGUUGUGAAAUGUUGGGUUAAGUCCCGCAACGAGCGCAACCCUUAUCCUUUGUUGCCAGCGAUUCGGUCGGGAACUCAAAGGAGACUGCCGGUGAUAAACCGGAGGAAGGUGGGGAUGACGUCAAGUCAUCAUGGCCCUUACGGCCAGGGCUACACACGUGCUACAAUGGCGCAUACAAAGAGAAGCGACCUCGCGAGAGCAAGCGGACCUCAUAAAGUGCGUCGUAGUCCGGAUCGGAGUCUGCAACUCGACUCCGUGAAGUCGGAAUCGCUAGUAAUCGUGGAUCAGAAUGCCACGGUGAAUACGUUCCCGGGCUUUGUACACACCGCCCGUCACACCAUGGGAGUGGGUUGCAAAAGAAGUAGGUAGCUUAACCUUCGGGAGGGCGCUUACCACUUUGCGAUUCAUGACUGGGGUGAAGUCGUAACAAGGUAACC